rnacentral:tRNA from 1 species
GCCUUCGUGGUGUAACGGUAGCACACUCGGCGCAUAUUCGAGAGGUCCAGGUUCGAGUCCCAGCGAGAACA